CGUUCGUUAAGACAACAGGUGUUAGGUUGUAUGAGAUCCGCUGCCUGGCCAUGGAGUGUCGGGACGUAGAGACCAAAACACAAAUCUAUCCAUGCAAGCAUUUACCGCCAUUUUUUGGCGGUUUUUUUUGCGCAGAUCUUCGCGGUGGGGUUAUUGCGUCAGCCGAUA
rnacentral:sRNA from 1 species